AACGAACGCUGGCGGCAGGCCUAACACAUGCAAGUCGAGCGGGGUUUUCGGACCUAGCGGCGGACGGGUGAGUAAUGCGUAGGAAGCUACCCGACAGAGGGGGAUACCAGUUGGAAACGACUGUUAAUACCGCAUAAUGUCUACGGACCAAAGUGUGGGACCUUCGGGCCACAUGCUGUCGGAUGCGCCUACGUGGGAUUAGCUAGUUGGUGAGGUAAUGGCUCACCAAGGCGACGAUCCCUAGCUGGUUUGAGAGGAUGAUCAGCCACACUGGAACUGAGACACGGUCCAGACUCCUACGGGAGGCAGCAGUGAGGAAUAUUGGACAAUGGGCGCAAGCCUGAUCCAGCCAUGCCGCGUGCAGGAUGACGGUCCUAUGGAUUGUAAACUGCUUUAUACAGGAAGAAACACUCCGACGUGUCGGAGCUUGACGGUACUGUAAGAAUAAGGAUCGGCUAACUCCGUGCCAGCAGCCGCGGUAAAGUG
rnacentral:rRNA from 1 species